UACGUAGGUGGCAAGCGUUGUCCGGAUUUACUGGGCGUAAAGAGCGCGCAGGCGGUUAUUCAAGUCGAAUGUGAAAGCCCCCGGCUUAACUGGGGAGGGUCAUUCGAUACUGCGGGGCUAGAGUGCAGAAGGGGCAACUGGAAUUCUCGGUGUAGCGGUGAAAUGCGUAGAUAUCGAGAGGAACACCUGCGGCGAAGGCGGGUUGCUGGGCUGACACUGACGCUGAUGCGCGAAAGCUAGGGGAGCGAACGGG
rnacentral:rRNA from 1 species